AGAGUUUGAUCCUGGCUCAGGACGAACGCUGGCGGCGUGCUUAACACAUGCAAGUCGAACGAUGAACACCGGAGCUUGCUCUGGUGGGAUUAGUGGCGAACGGGUGAGUAACACGUGAGCAAUCUGCCCCCGACUCUGGGAUAACCCCGAGAAAUCGGAGCUAAUACCGGAUACGACACCUCCUGGCAUCAGGUGGGUGUGGAAAGAAUUUCGGUUGGGGAUGAGCUCGCGGCCUAUCAGCUUGUUGGUGAGGUAAUGGCUCACCAAGGCGACGACGGGUAGCCGGCCUGAGAGGGUGACCGGCCACACUGGGACUGAGACACGGCCCAGACUCCUACGGGAGGCAGCAGUGGGGAAUAUUGCACAAUGGGCGCAAGCCUGAUGCAGCAACGCCGCGUGGGGGACGACGGCCUUCGGGUUGUAAACCUCUUUUGGCAGGGAAGAAGCGAAAGUGACGGUACCUGCAGAAAAAGCACCGGCUAACUACGUGCCAGCAGCCGCGGUAAUACGUAGGGUGCAAGCGUUGUCCGGAAUUAUUGGGCGUAAAGAGCUCGUAGGCGGUGUGUCACGUCUGCUGUGAAAAUCCAAGGCUCAACCUUGGACUUGCAGUGGGUACGGGCACACUCGAGUGCGGUAGGGGAGAUUGGAAUUCCUGGUGUAGCGGUGGAAUGCGCAGAUAUCAGGAGGAACACCGAUGGCGAAGGCAGAUCUCUGGGCCGUAACUGACGCUGAGGAGCGAAAGCGUGGGGAGCGAACAGGAUUAGAUACCCUGGUAGUCCACGCCGUAAACGGUGGGAACUAGAUGUGGGGUCCGUUCCACGGAUUCCGUGUCGCAGCUAACGCAUUAAGUUCCCCGCCUGGGGAGUACGGCCGCAAGGCUAAAACUCAAAGGAAUUGACGGGGGCCCGCACAAGCGGCGGAGCAUGCGGAUUAAUUCGAUGCAACGCGAAGAACCUUACCAA
rnacentral:rRNA from 1 species